GCAAAGAGAGAGCAGAGAGAGAGGGGUGGGGGUGAACCGGACUGCAGUGAUUAUUCCUACUGUAUGGCCAGCUUGGUUUUUUUCCUGCAGCAAUAACCCCUCUUCUCUAGCACUGCGGGACGUAGGCAAAAGAUCAGCAACGUGUGGAAUGUAGCUGGGAUCAGCUUUUCUUGCCUGGACACUGGAUGACGAUAUGUCUCAGACUACAGGUACAGUUCAGAAAAGAAGACAGUGAUGUGCUCCAGAGUCCUUUUGGCCUCCCAGUCUUCGGUUUCAAGCUCCAAACAUACAUCUAUUUGUCCAUGGAUAUAUAUGUAGCAGUUAAACACGAGAAAUUUGAGAACCACAGUCCAGUCCAGAAACCAAGUGUGAAAACAAGGCUGCUCCUCAGUAAGUGAAACCAUCCUGGAACACAUCACCAAUACAGAAAUGCUCCCAGCUGGCUGAAAAGACACACAAUUGAAAUCAAAAACAUUGCAAAUAGACAUUUUCUGUCAUCCCAAAAAGACUUGGUCGCCAGAUCCAAGCCCCUGUGGAAACCACUGAGAACUUUACUGUGAGUAGCUUGCUGCUGGUUGCCCCCAGCCAUUGGUGGGGGAUGGGGAAUGGAGUCCAUGAAUUGCCAAGCAUGGGGGUAAGUGGACCUUCAAACAAGUCCAAGAUAUGAGACAACAUCAUCCACCCUCUAGUAAGCAGGCUUGAAAAUCCCAAUGUGUGUGUACCCCAAACCACUUUGCUCAGCAAUCAGAACUCCCUUCUACCUAAGCAAAAAAAGUGAGACUUGGCACUCGUGACAUGGGGAAGACAAUGGGCAUAGUUUAUACCCAUUAUUGUCAACUUGCGCAGCCACUUACCAGGUCCAAGCUGAGAUCCCCUUGUGCACCACAGUCCAGCUUCUUAGCAGGCACCCCAGGCACAGGGAAUGAGGAGAACCCACAGCUCACAUAUAAUUGUGUUGCAUCUGACAUAGGAUACCAUCACGUGUGAGGUUCCUCUUCCCAUAUCUGUUUCUCCACUCGGUUUGAAGAAGGCAGCAGCAGCAAGGGUGGCAUCAUUACACACAGCACUGAUGCAUAGUUUGGGUUGCUAACUUUUGAAGUGGCCUUAAUAGCUGUCCCUUUAAGGGAAAUUUGAUCUGCUGCAAUUAGUGGGUGAGGAUGUUUCCCUGCAGGCCAUGAGAGCUUCACCUGCCAAUGUUAUGCAGAAAGCCUCUCUUAAAUGCACAGUGAGAGGCCAGGCACUUGGCAGCAGGCAGCCCUGCACAUAAACAGGACAGCCUGUGCAUUGGGAGUGAGCAAUGGUAGAGGCUUCCCCUAUGUCAUCACCAAGUCAACAGGUUCCUCUCAUUAACGUUGCCAAUUGGCCGGCUUUAAUAUGCAGAAGCAGGCAGCUGAAGCUUUUCAUGGCAUGGAGCUAAAUAAUUUCACCCCAUAAUUGCUUGCUGGUCAAACAGUUUUUAAAAAGAUAGUUAUGGGGACCAAUUUUAACGCCUUCUUCUUUGCCUAUCUUGAAGAAAUCUUCUGCUUAAAGCCCUUUCAUUCUUUAGCUCUUAAUGUUUUCUGUUUCCACCCUCUGUUUUCUGCUUACCUCAGCCUUUACAGCUGUUUAAAAAGAGGGAGGGAGUUCUGGGUGGGACAGCAUUCUGGGUGGGACAGUGACAAUGCUUCUUAACCAUUUUGUGUUCCCUCUUUCAAGGGUGCUCCUCAGAACAUGCUGUUGCAGUUUAUCAGCCCCAGAUUUGAGGACAAGCUGGAAGAUGCCCUAUUACCUCACAGUUAGCCUCCCUCCCAACUGCCCAUCUGAUGAUCGAGUUUGCAUGCACACAACAUAUUCCAUUCCAGUUUUCAAGCCACAGGAGGCCAGCCUUCCUCCUCCUUCCAGCAAAUUCCGCCCAGUCACUAAUUAUGAAAGAAAGAGAAGGUUUGCCAACAAAGGAAUUAAUGAGGAAGAUUCAUCACUGCCAAUUGACUUUACUACUAAGUUAAUGGGAAAAAUAUGAGCAAGGAGAGCCACCCAAGAGGCGAAGAUUGCCCAUACACUCCACAGAGCUUUAUUCCAGAAGACGCAUUUAGACAUCUGACGUUCAGUUGGCUUAAUCUAAUGUAAAAGCAAGGAAGUGACUGGUGAUAAAUAAAUACUCGAUGUUUGCA